AUGCGCACGCUUGGGCGCGGUCACCACCGCAUCAACGUGUCCACGGACUACGUCGACGCCGGCGGCGAGCACCUGUGGGUCGACGUCCUCCGCGCUACGCUGAAGCACGGCCUCGCGCCGCGCGCGUGGACGGACCAUCUGCAACUCACUGUCGGCGGCACGCUCUCCAAUGCUGGCAUCGGCGGCCAAGCAUUCCGGCAUGGCCCGCAAAUCGCCAAUGUGCACGAGCUUGACGUGGUUACCGGGACGGGUGAGAUGGUGACAUGCUCACGUGACAGGAGGAAUGACCUGUUCUUCGCCGCAUUGGGUGGACUGGGCCAGUUCGGGAUCAUAACCCGGCCUCGGAUCGCUCUUGAGUCGGCCCCAAAGCAGGUGCGCUGGGUUCGACUUGCCUACUCGGAUGUGGUUGCGUUCAUCAGAGACCAGGAGCUGCUCAUUUCUAAGCAUGCUAGGGAAGCCGGUUUCGACUAUGUCGAAGGCCAAGUCCAGCUUAACCGGACGCUAACCAAGGGCCCCAAGUCAACGCCCUUCUUCUCCGAAGCCGAUAUCAACAGGCUUGCUGGCCUCGCAUCCGAGACUGGCUCCGGCGCGAUCUACUUCAUCGAAGCCGCCAUGUACUAUGAUGAGACGACCGCUCCAUCUGUCAACCAGAAACUAGGGAUGGUGCUAGCUCAACUGAGCUUUGUGCCCGGGUUCGUGUUCACCAAGAUGUGA
rnacentral:rRNA from 1 species